GGGGAUAUAGCUCAGUGGUAGAGUGCGUGCUUAACGUGCACGAGAUCCCAGGUUUAAUCCCCAGUACCUCCA
rnacentral:tRNA from 1 species